rnacentral:rRNA from 1 species
UACGUAGGGUGCAAGCGUUAAUCGGAAUUACUGGGCGUAAAGCGUGCGCAGGCGGUUAUGUAAGACAGGUGUGAAAUCCCCGGGCUUAACCUGGGAACUGCAUUUGUGACUGCAUAGCUAGAGUACGGUAGAGGGGGAUGGAAUUCCGCGUGUAGCAGUGAAAUGCGUAGAUAUGCGGAGGAACACCGAUGGCGAAGGCAAUCCCCUGGACCGGCAUUGACGCUGAGGUGCGAAAGCGUGGGGAGCAAACAGG